CGUGUAGGCGGGAAUGCAAGUCAGAUGUGAAAUACCGAGGCUUAACUUCGGAGCUGCAUCUGAAACUGCGUUUCUUGAGUGUCGGAGAGGAAAGUGGAAUUCCCAGUGUAGCGGUGAAAUGCGUAGAUAUUGGGAGGAACACCAGUGGCGAAGGCGACUUUCUGGACGAUAACUGACGCUGAGGCGCGAAAGCGGGGGGAGCAAACAGGAUUAGAUACCCUGGUAGUCCACGCCGUAAACGAUGGAUACUAGGUGUAGGAGGUAUCGACCCCUUCUGUGCCGGAGUUAACACAAUAAGUAUCCCACCUGGGGAGUACGGCCGCAAGGUUGAA
rnacentral:rRNA from 1 species